rnacentral:rRNA from 1 species
AUUGAACGCUGGCGGCAGGCCUAACACAUGCAAGUCGAACGGUAACAGGGAUCAGCUUGCUGAUUCGCUGACGAGUGGCGGACGGGUGAGUAAUGUCUGGGAAACUGCCUGAUGGAGGGGGAUAACUACUGGAAACGGUAGCUAAUACCGCAUAACGUUUCAAGACCAAAGUGGGGGACCUUCGGGCCUCUUGCCAUCGGAUGUGCCCAGAUGGGAUUAGCUAGUAGGUGGGGUAACGGCUCACCUAGGCGACGAUCCCUAGCUGGUCUGAGAGGGUGACCAGCCACACUGGAACUGAGACACGGUCCAGACUCCUACGGGAGGCAGCAGUGGGGAAUAUUGCACAAUGGGCGCAAGCCUGAUGCAGCCAUGCCGCGUGUAUGAAGAAGGCCUUCGGGUUGUAAAAUACUUUCAGCAGGGAGGAAGGGAGUAAAGUUAAUACCUUUGCUCAUUGACGUUACCCACAGAGGAAGCACCGGCUAACUCCGUG